GACCUUCCCGUCUCGCUCUGGAAGGACCAGCGUCUCCGCGUGGGUCAGGAGGUGGCCACUGGCGGAACCCCCGUCGGAACCCAGGCCCCGUCCUUCCGCCGUGUCCCGUCCUUUCCCGUCGGGAAGCACUCUCUGCUGGCGGAGGCUCUGAGCAGGAUUUUUAUUACCAUGGCCUCUGCUCCCGGCUCCUCCCAGGACAUGAUGUGAACAGCCGAGGCUGGUGGUAACCACCUUCCUGUCUCUGCUGUAGCCAUCUCGGCUAAUCCAGCUGGACUUCUGGCGGUGCUGGAGGUUAAAGGUGCCUCGGCACUGCGAGGCAGGAGGAGAUUAGUCUUGCCCCAUGGGAGGCGAGCCCUGGAGCCGGUCGUACGGGGAAAGUGGAAGCUCACAGACACUAAGGAAGCCGUGUGGUUGAUGAGAACAGGACCAGGAUUCACCUGGGACCAGAUGGCUGCCCAGGCCAGUUCCCCCACCGCCCCGCAGGGAGAGCCUGGCGCCAGGGCAGAGGAAGCUAGAGGCGGGACCCAGAGACGCAGGGGCUUGCAGCCCCCCGUGAGGAAUCUGGACUUUAUCCUGGAGGCCAGUGGGUCUCAGUCUGGGCUGCACAUCAGAUCCUCCGGAGAGCUCUAGAGAUGAUUACUGCCUGGGUCCUACCCCAGGAAGUCUGACUCAGCUGUUUCUUGGUUUUGUUUUGUUUUGUUUUUUAUAUUGGAGUAGAGUUGAUUAACAGUGCUGUGUCAGUUUCAGGAGUACAGCAAAGUGAUUCAGUUAUACAUAUACAUGUAUCUAAUCUUUUUCAGAUUCUUUUCCCAUUUAGGUUAUUACAGAAUAUUGAACAGAGUUCCCCGUGCUGUAGAGAAGGUCCUUGUUGGUUAUCCAUUUUAAGAAUAGCAGUGAUUCAGCUGUUGUUUUUGAAGCUCUCCAAGUGAUUCUGACGUGCAGCCAGCCUAUGCAUAAGAACUGGAGUCAUGCUGCCACACACGGUCAAAAGGCCUGCUUGCCACUGACCCUUCGCAGGGACUCCUGGGCCCGAGGCGACGCCCUCGCGCCCCAGCUGCUCCCGAGAACCCUUGCAGAGGCCUCACCCUCUUCUCCCAAGCCAGUCUGCGGGCUCCGGUCGCCCCCCGCCUGGGUCUGCCCCCGUCACAGCCGCUGGGGAGCUGCUGUUUCCGGGAGCGGCCGCCAAAGCCAGGGUCUGGUGCUGGGGGGCCGUGGGAGCUGGCGGUCACG